rnacentral:rRNA from 1 species
GAUGAACGCUAGCGGCAGGCUUAAUACAUGCAAGUCGAGGGGUAGCAAGAUUGUAGCAAUACAAUUGUUGACGACCGGCAAACGGGUGCGGAACACGUACACAACCUUCCUACAAGUGGGGAAUAGCCCAGAGAAAUUUGGAUUAAUACCCCGUAACAUAGCGAUGUGGCAUCACAUUGCUAUUAUAGCUUCGGCGCUUGUUGAUGGGUGUGCGGCUGAUUAGAUAGUUGGCGGGGUAACGGCCCACCAAGUCUACGAUCAGUAGCUGAUGUGAGAGCAUGAUCAGCCACACGGGAACUGAGACACGGGACCGACUCCUACGGGAGGCAGCAGUAAGGAAUAUUGGACAAUGGACGCAAGUCUGAUCCAGCCAUGCCGCGUGAAGGAUUAAGGUCCUCUGGAUUGUAAACUUCUUUUAUAAGGGACGAAAAAAGGUCUUUCUAGAUCGUCUGACGGUACCUUAUGAAUAAGCACCGGCUAACUCCGUGCCAGCCGCCGCAGUAACAC